AUAAUAUUAACAACAUCAACAACAACGGGCGGACAGUCGGCCAAACGAGCAGUGGCGUUUUCAGUCGUGGUUUAAGUGGUUGAGUGAAAUCAAAAGUUGCAAAAAAUGCUGAACCGGGGCCGGAAAAGGCGGAACUUUUCUCCAGGAGUUGCGCCAGCUGUCGAGCCGCUUGACGACCUCAGGUACAAGGAAAUCAAACGGUGCGCCCUGCAGAUGUACCGUGAACAGAUAAUGCUACCGUUCCUCUCAGUGACAUUGUUCAACGUAGAUUUGUCGUACUUCAAGAUUCCAGUUGGGAGUUGAACCUGGACCGAUUUCUAGUAGUUCUUUGAGACGUUCGAGUUAAUUUCGCGUUCAACGCAGAUUCCUUCUUCUUCCUCAACGGUACCAACCUUCAAUUUUUGUUUCAUUCAGACCACGGCACUCUCGAUCGUCGGCUGUCUCGACAUUAACCCGGUGACUAACGCUCGAGACACGGGCAUGGACACGUAAGAGAUGUUUGGUUCGGAUGAUGGCGUGGCAUUCUUGUUGACCUAAGUCAACUGUUGCAGCAGCUGUUUCGAAAGUAGGACGGCGUAUCACACGUGGCCUGCUUUACUUUCCAUAAGUCGCCACCGACGACGACAACAACUGCGUGUGCUCAUUAGCAAACACUCCCAGUCAACUCAAUCGGAAUUCUGAAACGGAAUUCAAUUCGAAUCGUUUACGUAUUCCGUUUCAAACGCAACAACCGGUACGUACACGGAAUCGGUUCAGAAAUCGAUUCAGAUUUCCGAUUGAGUUGAUUGGGUAGCUGCAGUUGUUCUUUCGGAAGUGCUAAGUUCAUACCGAUGCUUCUUAAUUUAGGGCUCAAUCAAUUUGAAACAUUUAUCAAUCCUACGUAAACCUAGAGGAGCAAAACGCAGUUUGAAAAUAAAAUAAUGCACUAAAGUAUGCUUUAUUUGUUAUUGAAGAUAAAAAUAAUAUGCUGAAUAUAAUAAUUUUGUUGUUUUUGUGCUAAGUAAUUCGAAAAAUCUGCAGCUGUACUCAUACAUAUCGGUUUCAUUCAUAAUUUUCUGAAAAUCAACCCCGGAAGUACCGCUUGGAAGUCUUGUCCAGUAUUCGUCGAACGACUGCAAGCAAAGUGGAAAUGACAAGAACCGAGUCAAUAAAAAGGAAUUUUCUUUAGUACGAACAUUAGAAAAAACGGGAACUAGAACUGAACUGCAACUCGACCAAUCGGUC